UAUUUGAGCUUAUAGUUCCUGAGUGA
rnacentral:piRNA from 1 species